GGUUUGUAGCUCAGUGGUAGAGCACUUGCCUUGGACAUGUAAGGCCCUGGAUUCAAUCCUCAGCACCA
rnacentral:tRNA from 1 species